AGCCGAUAUCUGCAUUCCAAAGGACUGUAUCCCUCUUAUCAUGUUAAUGAUUCUACAUCAGUGCCUCUCCCUAUUUGCUCUGGUGUUUUCAGGAAAACUCGCUUAAAACCAGCAUUUUAGAAACCCUGAAAUACAAAGCCCCGAUCUGUGUGUGGAGUGCUUCCAAGGAUCUCGAAGGGGCUUCGGGGACACUCGGGAGUGCCUACGCCAAACAGCCCACCCGCGCACCGAAGGGCAGCCGCGGCGAGGAAAGAAUGAAGUGCGUGCAGUUAAUUCCAGCUGUUUUGCAUAAGAAGCUUCGCCAGGACCACAGGGUGGGGGCCAGAUGUGUGCAGAAGAGCACCAGAGAGUGGUUUGCAACUGGAAAUUGGUCCCUCCACGGCUCCUGAAAUGGCAUCUUCCUUUGGUGCACAACCACAACAAGCUGGUGAUCAAGUGCGAACAGGGCAUUCCUACACAGUUGAGGUCCUGCACCCUUUGCCAGAAUCCUGGGGAGAGAUUUUGCUAGGCCCUGUCUGAAAAGCAUCCCACCCCCCUGCCCCAAGAUCUUCUGGUGUGAAUUUCUGGCCAGAGAGACAAUGGGAAAGACGCUUGAUUAAUUUCUCAUAAAGCAGCAAUUAAGACAGAUUUAAUUAGAACCAGAUCGUCUUGGCUGUAGUGCUGAGGAAAUUAAUGAAACUGCUCGUCUCCCUGGCCCUUCUGCGCACCAGCAAGCGCCCAGAACCACCAUGCACGCAACAACUUAGCAAAAUAUGUUUUAUGUACAUCAGAACUAGGCGUGCAAUGGUUCAGUCAGUUAGACCAACUGACUGAAAAACCAUUUGAUAAAGUGGCCCUGAACGGAUGAGUCAGCACAUUUUAAGUUUAAAAAAGAAAAGCAAAAAAGAUGUUGUUUAGGGCAAUCCCCAGACUAAGUUAGUCAUGGCUUGGAGGGGCUGGAUUACCUGAAAGAAUAUCUUGCCCAGACCUUAAAGAUCAUCUACAGAAGCCCUGCUCCGAGUCCCGCUGCCAAAUGAGGUGAGGUACCUGGCACUUAGGGAGAGGGCCUUUUUGGCGGUGGCACCCUAUUUACUGAAGGGCUUCCCUAGUGAGGCUCGCUUGGCACCAUCACUAUGCCAAAACUUUCUUCUUCACCCAGGCUUUUGAAAUGCUUUGAAAUGCUUUUAAAAUGUUUUUAAAACCUGUUGUCUUUUUAGUCAUAUUGCUGGUACUGUUUUGUUUUAAUGUAUGUUUAAUUGUAUAUCUUACUGUUUUGUGGUGAUUCUCUUUAUUUAACAGGGGGAGAGUAACUGGCCCUAUCCACCCCUCAGCACAGUACUUCCAGUGACAGUUGCUGGUGUGUAUCUCAUGUUUCUUUUUAGAUUGUGAGCUCUUUGGGGGCAGGGAUCCAUCUUAUUUAUUUGUUAUUUCUCUGUGUAAACCACCCUGAGACGGGUGGUAUAGAAAUCGAAUUCAUCAUCAUCAUCAUCAUCAUCAUCCAGAGAACAAUGUGUUAUGGGGCAGCCAUAUGAAUAAAUCAUUUAUUAUUCUU